rnacentral:rRNA from 1 species
GUUGAACGCUGGCGGCGUGCUUUAUACAUGCAAGUCGAGCGAACAGACGAGGUGCUUUCUUCUCUGACGUCAGCGGCGGACGUGUUAGUAACACGUGUAUAACCUACUUAUAAGACUGGGAUCACUUCGUGAAACCGUAGCUAAUACCGGAUAAUAUAUUGAACCGCAUGGUUCAAUAGUGUAAUUCGGCUUUGCUGUUUCUUAUAGAUGGUUCCGCGCCGCAUUAGCUAGUUGGUAAGGUAACGGCUUACCAAGGCUACGAUGCGUAGCCGACCUGAGAGGGUGAUCAGCCACACUGGAACUGAGACACGGUCCAGACUCCUACGGGAGGCAGCAGUAGGGAAUCUUCGGCAAUGGGCGAAAGCCUGACGGAGCAACGCCGCGUGAGUGAUGAAGGUCUUCGGAUCGUAAAACUCUGUUAUUAGGGAAGAACAAGUGUGUAAGAAACUAGGGACGUCUUGACGGUACCUGAUCAGAAAGCCACGGCUAACUACGUG